rnacentral:rRNA from 1 species
UACGUAGGGAGCAAGCGUUGUUCGGAUUUACUGGGCGUAAAGGGCGCGUAGGCGGCAUAUUAAGUCAUCUGUGAAAUCUCCGAGCUUAACUCGGAACUGUCAGCUGAUACUGAUGUGCUAGAGUGCGGAAGGGGCAAUCGGAAUUCUUGGUGUAGCGGUGAAAUGCGUAGAUAUCAAGAGGAACACCUGAGGUGAAGACGGGUUGCUGGGCCGACACUGACGCUGAGUGCGCGAAAGCCAGGGAGCAAACGGG